rnacentral:rRNA from 1 species
UACGAAGGGGGCUAGCGUUGUUCGGAAUCACUGGGCGUAAAGCGCACGCAGGCGGAUCGAUAAGUCGGGGGUGAAAGCCCGGGGCUCAACCUCGGAAUUGCCUUCGAUACUGUCGGUCUCGAGUCCGGGAGAGGUGAGUGGAAUUCCUAGUGUAGAGGUGAAAUUCGUAGAUAUUAGGAAGAACACCAGUGGCGAAGGCGGCUAACUGGCCCGGUACUGACGCUCAGGUGCGAAAGCGUGGGGAGCAAUCAGC